rnacentral:rRNA from 1 species
GACGAACGCUGGCGGCGUGCCUAAUACAUGCAAGUAGAACGCUGAAGAGAGGAGCUUGCUCUUCUUGGAUGAGUUGCGAACGGGUGAGUAACGCGUAGGUAACCUGCCUUGUAGCGGGGGAUAACUAUUGGAAACGAUAGCUAAUACCACAUAACAAUGGAUGACACAUGUCAUUUAUUUGAAAGGGGCAAUUGCUCCACUACAAGAUGGACCUGCGGUGUAUUAGCUAGUAGGGUAGGUAACGGCUCACCUAGGCGACGAUACAUAGCCGACCUGGGAGGGUGGACGGCUAACCUGGGACUUGGAACCGGCCCCGGCCUCCUCGGGAGGCCGCAGUAGGGGAUCUUCGGCCAUGGGGGCAACCCUGACCGAGCAACGCCCGGUGAGUGGAGGAGGUUCUCCGGUCGGUAAGCUCUGUUGUGAGGCAAGAACGAGUGUGAGAGUGGAAAGUUCACGCUGUGACGGUAGCUUACCAGAAAGGGACGGCUAACUACGUG